rnacentral:rRNA from 1 species
CCUACGGGUGGCAGCAGUGGGGAAUAUUGGGCAAUGGACGCAAGUCUGACCCAGCAACGCCGCGUGAAGGAAGAAGGCUUUCGGGGUGUAAACUUCUUUUUAGGGGGAAGCGCAGAAGACGGUACCUCUUGAAUAAGCCACGGCUAACUACGUGCCAACAGCCGCGGUAAUACGAAGGUGGCAAGUGGUGUCCGGAUUUACGGGGUGUAACGGGCUUGCAGCCGGAGCGACAAGUCAGAUGUGAAAUCCACGGGCUCAAACCGUGAACUGCAGUUGAAACUGGUUCCCUUGAGUGUCGGAGAGGGAAGCGGAAUUCGUGGUGUAGCGGUGAAAUGCAUAGAUAUAAGGAAGAACACCAGUGGCGAAGGCGGCUUACUGUACGAUAACUGACGGUGAGGCGCGAAAGCGUGGGGAGCGAACAGGAUUAGAUACCCGAGUAGUC